GAGAUUCAAAUGAUGAGUAAUUAUUUCAUGGUUCAAAUGAAAAUAUUUCUGUGAUUAUAAAUAUUGUAUUUUCUUUCACUUUUGUCUGAUGACCUCU